rnacentral:rRNA from 2 species
AAAUUGAAGAGUUUGAUCAUGGCUCAGAUUGAACGCUGGCGGCAGGCCUAACACAUGCAAGUCGAACGGUAACAGGAAGCAGCUUGCUGCUUCGCUGACGAGUGGCGGACGGGUGAGUAAUGUCUGGGAAACUGCCUGAUGGAGGGGGAUAACUACUGGAAACGGUAGCUAAUACCGCAUAACGUCGCAAGACCAAAGAGGGGGACCUUCGGGCCUCUUGCCAUCGGAUGUGCCCAGAUGGGAUUAGCUAGUAGGUGGGGUAACGGCUCACCUAGGCGACGAUCCCUAGCUGGUCUGAGAGGAUGACCAG